UACAGAGGGGGCAAGCGUUGUUCGGAAUUACUGGGCGUAAAGGGCGCGUAGGCGGCCGCCUAAGUCAGACGUGAAAUCCCUCGGCUCAACCGGGGAACUGCGUCUGAUACUGGGUGGCUUGAAUCCGGGAGAGGGAUGCGGAAUUCCAGGUGUAGCGGUGAAAUGCGUAGAUAUCAGGAGGAACACCAAUGGCGAAGGCAGAUCUCUGGGCCGUAACUGACGCUGAGGAGCGAAAGCAUGGGGAGCGAACAGG
rnacentral:rRNA from 1 species